GAAGAUGGCGGCUCCGGUGAGUUCUGUCUCCUUGCUUCUUCCCGGAAAGGAAGGAAUCUGUGAAAGUUUCCUUUCGCCUCCACGGAUCGAGGCAAACCGUUGGCACCAUGGAUGAUGAGAGUGAUGAGAGUUGUCUCAGGGAUGCGCUCACUCUGACACAGCGGUAUCGUAUGUCAGAUGAGAGGGAGGGUCAGACGCUGCAGGUUGGCUGGUUCCGGACAGGAGGCUAACCCCAAAUUACUCUUCAGAAUGAGCUUUGUAGGGAGAGUCUCGUGACCAUGGCGGGCGGUGACCCGGCCUUAAGGUGGGACAAUGUUCCGAGCAGAGCUAGCGUCACAUGUACAAUGUGGCUGGGGCAAAGGCAGCCGUAAAGUUUGGCGAUGAAAUCUCCGGUCUUUUCCAGUAAAUUGGGGGGGGUGUGGUGGGAGGAGACUGGCUGUGUGCCGAGGCUGCCUGCCCCUGUGCGGGGGGAAAACGACCCAAAAGUCGCGACUGUUUUGAAGGAAAGGAGGGAGUUUGAUAGGCAGUACGUUCUGCAAUCAUCAUCGCCUAAAGUAAGAAAUUGAUCACCUUUAACUGUCCCCUCCUAUCUGUAGGAGGUGCUGGAGUCAGACGUGUCAAGUUCGAUAACACUUUUGAAAAACCUCCAGGAGCAGGUGAGUAUGUAUGUCUUUUAGAAUAAAUCAGUCAGGGAUUAACUUUGACUUCAUAAGUCUCAUCCACACACUUUGAUGAUUCGAAUACUACAAAAUUAUCUUAGGUGUAAAAUAAAAGCCUUAUAUGCGCUUCAUGAAAGUUCAAAAUAAUUCAUUCAGCUCCCAAAGAAAUACAGAAAGCUGUUUUUCCCCCAUUCACUUACUUAUUUAUUUAUUUUAUUUAGUCACUUUACAUUCCGAUUGCAGCCACCCCCCAGAAAACUUUUUUUAAGUUAUACCCAAACUCCUUUAUUUAAAUAAUAACUAAGAAAACAGAUGUUGACAAUCUGUCAAAAUAGUGGCUAUAAGUGCCACUUAAUAUGCAUUUACAUAGUAAGUUCUAGUGGUACAGAUAAAAUUACACUCCUUGGCCUGUUUAUGGUGCACACCUUUAAACCCAGCACUUAGGAGGCAGAGGCAGGUGGAUCUCUGUGAGUUCAAGGUCAGCUUGGAGUGUAUAGUGAGUUCCAGAACAACCUGGGCUUCAUAGACAAACCCUAUCUC
rnacentral:lncRNA from 1 species